rnacentral:rRNA from 1 species
CCUACGGGUGGCAGCAGUGGGGAAUAUUGGACAAUGGGGGGAACCCUGAUCCAGCGACGCCGCGUGAGUGAAGAAGUAUUUCGGUAUGUAAAGCUCUAUCAGCAGGGAAGAAAGAUAUGACGGUACCUGACUAAGAGGCUCCGGCUAACUACGUGCCAGCCGCCGCGGUAAUACGUAGGUGGCAAGCGUUAUGCGGAUUUACUGGGUGCAAAGGGAGCGUAGACGGCGAGGAAAGUCUGAAGUGAAAGGCGGGGGCACAACGUCCGGACUGCUUUGGAAACUGUAUGGCUGGAGUGCAGGAGAGGUAAGUGGAAUUCCUAGUGUAGCGGUGAAAUGCGUAGAUAUCAGGAGGAACAUCAGUGGCGAAGGCGACUAACUGGCCCAUAACUGACGCUGAGGCGCGAAAGCGUGGGUAGCAAACAGGAUUAGAUACCCUAGUAGUC